rnacentral:rRNA from 1 species
GGAGGGUGCAAGCGUUGUUCGGAUUUAUUGGGCGUAAAGCGCGUGUAGGCGGUUUCUUAAGUCUGAUGUGAAAGCCCUGGGCUCAACCCAGGAAGUGCAUUGGAUACUGGGAAACUUGAAUACGGGAGAGGGUAGUGGAAUUCCUGGUGUAGGAGUGAAAUCCGUAGAUAUCAGGAGGAACACCGGUGGCGAAGGCGGCUACCUGGACCGAUAUUGACGCUGAGACGCGAAAGCGUGGGUAGCAAACAGGAUUAGAUACCCUGGUAGUCCACGCCGUAAACGAUGAGUACUAGGUGUUGCGGGUAUUGACCCCUGCAGUGCCGCAGCUAACGCAUUAAGUACUCCGCCUGGGAAGUACGGUCGCAAGACUUA